GCCUGAGUGGCUCAGUCGGUUAAGCGUCCGACUUCAGCUCGGGUCAUGAUCUCACGGUUCGUGAGUUCGAGCCCCACGUCGGGCU
rnacentral:tRNA from 1 species